rnacentral:lncRNA from 1 species
UACAGUAUUUUUGUACAUUUUUGUUAGGUUGAGUCAGAGAAUUAUUUUUACUGGAGGUGCUCUUUAGCAAUUGUAAAUAUACUUUAAAGAAUAUGAUCAUAUAUUUCUCCUUCUAUUGUGGAUCGCAAUCAACUUCCCAAACAAUCGAAGCUAUAAUCACAGUGAAUACACAAAGUCAACCAAGUUGCUUUGGUCUAGUGGUAUAGGAGCUCCAGCUGGAGUGCCCGCCCCUGGGUUCGAGCCUUGGCCACUGCGGAAAUUUACAUAUGGGCUGCAGCAUCCGAAACCGAAGACCGUUACACGGUGAGCCACAUGGUGACGCCCUGGCAGCGUCCUUGCUCACUUCGGUCUCUAGUCUGGACCACCUCGGUGGAUACUCGGUUAGAAAAAAAAAAAAAAAAAGAAUACACAAAGUCAUGAUAAACGAGUCAAAUAGCGACGUUAAUGGCUAAAGAAAUGAUUAUACUUAUGAUAACGAAAGAAGAGGAGGAACAGCUUUCUGCACUCUCGAGGGAUGCAUUUCACAUUCUUUCAUGUUACAAAUAAUUCCUAUUUCUGACACAAACCUAUCUAAUUUGCAAACACAAAGCAUGCCUACCUACCUAUUCCACUCUUCUUUUGUUUCCUUUACCUUUUACUUUAUUUUCCGCUUCGUUAUUCUUCUUU